rnacentral:tRNA from 1 species
UGUGGAAAAUGGGGGUUUAUUGGGGAGCUGUAAACUCUUUCUUUUUUUGCCUCUACAC